AAAUAUUGAAUGCUUCUUUGGCACCAAUUGGGCAAUAUCUAAGGAAAAUAGAAGAUCAACUUCAUAAUAUUGUGUUUUGUUGGUGGUAAUUUGGUUUCCUAGAAGAGGAAGAAACAAAAUAUGGUGUCAUUCAAGUGCUGAAUCAGAAUACAAAGCAAUGAUAUAGCUUGUGUGUGAAUUGGUUUGGAUGUGUCAACUUCUUGUUCAAUUUGGAUUUGACAUCACAAUACUGACUAAAUUGUGAUGUG
rnacentral:misc_RNA from 1 species